AGCGAACGCUGGCGGCGUGCCUAAUACAUGCAAGUCGAACGAAGUGGCGCACGGGUGAGCAAUAUAUAGUUAAACUGCUCUACAAAGUGGAACAACAGUUGGAAACGGACGCUAAUACCUCAUAGUGAAGGUGGAGUCUGUAUCGUAUCAGCUAGUUGGUAAGGUACAGGCUUACCAAGGCUAUGACGCGUAACUGGUCUGAGAGGAUGAUCAGUCACCUUGGAACUGAGGCACGGUUCAGGCUCCUUCGGGAGGCAGCAGUAAGGAGUAUUGCGCAAUGGGCGAGACCCUGACGCGGCUUCGCAGCGUAAAGGUUGCCACUUUUCGGAGCGUAAGCACGUUUUAUAAGGAAAGCGGUACCUGAUCAGUAAGCACCGGCUAACUCCGUGCCAGCAGCCGCGGUAAUAC
rnacentral:rRNA from 1 species